rnacentral:lncRNA from 1 species
UCCAUAUAACAAUACUUCUAUUACUGCAAUGUUAUUUACAAAUUUUUUCCAAUAUAUAUAAUUUUUUGAGAGAAAGGUAGCACGCUAUCCGUUUCGUUUAUUUUAUUUAAGAAUAAAUUUAAUUAGCUAAAAAUAUGAAGUAAUUAGGUUUUGAAUCAGGAACUUCGGAUAUUAAUCACCAAGUCCUUCACCACUUGCGCUAGGGACAGUCGGUAAUUCUCUUCAAAUAUUAAUUCUUUCUCCAUGUUGCUG